CAGGACGAACGCUGGCGGCGUGCUUCAUACAUGCAAGUCGAACGAGAAUCUCUAGCUUGCUAGAGAGGAAAGUGGCGGACGGGUGAGUAAUGUGUAGAGAAUCUGCCCUAGAGAGAGGGACAACAGUUGGAAACGACUGCUAAUACCUCAUAUGCGCGUAGCUGAGAUGCUAUUCGUGAAAACUCCGGUGCUCUGGGAUGAGUCUGCAUCUGAUUAGCUAGUUGGCGGUGUAAUGGACCACCAAGGCGACGAUCAGUAGCUGGUUUGAGAGGAUGAUCAGCCACAAUGGGACUGAGACACGGCCCAUACUCCUACGGGAGGCAGCAGUAGGGAAUUUUGCGCAAUGGGGGAAACCCUGAACCGCAGCAACGCCGCGUGAUUGAAUAAGCCCUUCGGGGUGUAAAGAUCUGUCAGUAGGGACGAAACUUGACGGUACCUACAGAGGAAGCAUCGGCUAACUCCGUGCCAGCCGCGGC
rnacentral:rRNA from 1 species